AGGACGAACGCUGGCGGCGUGCCUAAUACAUGCAAGUCGAACGGUCUUUCUAUGGAAGCUUGCUUCCACUGAGAAGAUAGUGGCGAACGGGUGAGUAACACGUGGGUAACCUGCCCAUAAGAGGGGGGAUAACAUCCGGAAACGGGUGCUAAUACCGCAUAGUUUUCUUGAUCGCAUGAUUGAGAAAGGAAAGACGGCCUUUGUGCUGUCGCUUAUGGAUGGACCCGCGGCGUAUUAGUUAGUUGGUGAGGUAACGGCUCACCAAGACGAUGAUACGUAGCCGACCUGAGAGGGUGAUCGGCCACAUUGGGACUGAGACACGGCCCAAACUCCUACGGGAGGCAGCAGUAGGGAAUCUUCCGCAAUGGACGAAAGUCUGACGGAGCAACGCCGCGUGAGUGAAGAAAAGGUUUUCGGAUCGUAAAACUCUGUUGUCAGAGAAGAACAAGUUGGAGAGUAACUGCUCCAGCCUUGACGGUAUCUGACCAGAAAGCCACGGCUAACUACGUGCCAGCCGCUGC
rnacentral:rRNA from 1 species